rnacentral:tRNA from 1 species
GCAGCGGGUGGCGCAGCUGGAGUCGCAGGUGGCUGCGCUGCGCCGUGCGGGGUGGGAGCGGGAUGAGCUGCCGUUCUACCCGACGUCGCUGCAC